CGGGUAGCUCAUCAUAAUAUCACUUGAAGAAGCUCUAUGGGAAUCGUUGGUUAUGAAGAAGCAAAUUCCGGAAUCAAGCAAGAGGGUUUAAACUAAUCACUUCAUCAAACACUAAGUGACCCAGCUGUGCAUUCUUCGAUCUUCAAAUCCAAUAAUACGUAGAAAGCAAGUACUGAACAGAUACAAAGAGAAGGGAAAAGU
rnacentral:sRNA from 1 species